rnacentral:rRNA from 1 species
GACGAACGCUGGCGGCGUGCUUAACACAUGCAAGUCGAACGGAAAGGCCCUGCUUUUGUGGGGUGCUCGAGUGGCGAACGGGUGAGUAACACGUGAGUAACCUGCCCUUGACUGUGGGAUAACUUCAGGAAACUGGGGCUAAUACCGGAUAGGAGAUCCUGCUGCAUGGUGGGGGUUGGAAAGUUUCGGCGGUGGGGGAGGGACUGGCGGCUUAUUAGCUUGUUGGUGGGGUAGUGGCUUACCAAGGCUUUGACGGGUAGCCGGCCUGGGAGGGUGACCGGCCACAUUGGGCCUACGAUACGGCCCAGUCUCCUACGUGAGGCAGCAGUCGGGAGUAUUGCACAAUGGGCGGGAGCCUGAUACAGCAGCGCCGCGUGCGGGAUGACGGCCUUCGGGUUGUAAACCGCUUUCGCCUGUGACGAAGCGUGAUUGACGGUAAUGGGUAAAGAAGCGCCGGCUAACUACGUG